GAUGAACGCUGGCGGUAUGCUUAACACAUGCAAGUCGAACGGACUCUUCGGAGUUAGUGGCGGACGGGUGAGUAACGCGUGAGAAUCUGGCUUUGGGUUCGGGACAACCACUGGAAACGGUGGCUAAUACCGGAUGUGCCGAGAGGUAAAAGAGAAAUUGCCUGAAGAUGAGCUCGCGUCUGAUUAGCUAGUUGGUGAGGUAAAGGCUCACCAAGGCAGCGAUCAGUAGCUGGUCUGAGAGGAUGACCAGCCACACUGGGACUGAGACACGGCCCAGACUCCUACGGGAGGCAGAAGUGGGGAAUUUUCCGCAAGGGGCGAAAGCCUGACGGAGCAAUACCGCGUGAGGGAAGAAGGCUCUUGGGUUGUAAACCUCUUUUCUUAGGGAAGAACAAAAUGACGGUACCUAAGGAAUCAGCAUCGGCUAACUCCGUG
rnacentral:rRNA from 1 species